UACGUAGGUGGCAAGCGUUUGUCCGGAUUUACUGGGCGUAAAGAGCGCGCAGGCGGUUGUUUAAGUCGAAUGUGAAAGCCCCCGGCUCAACUGGGGAGGGUCAUUCGAUACUGAUCGACUUGAAGGCAGGAGAGGGAAGUGGAAUUCCGGGUGUAGUGGUGAAAUGCGUAGAUAUCCGGAGGAACACCAGUGGCGAAGGCGACUUCCUGGCCUGUUCUUGACGCUGAGGCGCGAAAGCUGGGGGAGCAAACGGG
rnacentral:rRNA from 1 species